AGAGUUUGAUCCUGGCUCAGGGUUAACGCUGGCGGCGUGCCUUACACAUGCAAGUCGAACGGGGCAGCGGGAGUACUUCGGUAUGAAAGCUGCUUAGUGGCGAACGGGUGAGUAACACGUGGAAACCUACCCAACGGCGGGGGACAACAGCUGGAAACGGCUGCUAAUACCGCAUAAGAUCCACAAGGAAGAAAGGCCCUACGGGGUCGCCGGCGGAGGGGUCCGCGUCCCAUCAGGUAGUUGGUGAGGGUAAAGGCCCACCAAGCCAACGACGGGUAUCUGACGUGAGAGCGUGAACAGACACAAGGACACUGAGAAACGGGUCCUACUCCUACGGGAGGCAGCAGUGGGGAAUAUUGGGCAAUGGGCGAAAGCCUGACCCAGCGACGCCGCGUGAUAGAAGGAGUCCUUCGGGAUGUAAAUAUCUUUUUAUUGGGACGAAUAAAGCCAAGAGGGAAUGCUUGGCAGAUGACGGUACCAAUGGAAUAAGCCCCGGCUAACUACGUGCCAGCCGCCGCGGUAAUAC
rnacentral:rRNA from 1 species